AUACUCUGGUUUCUCUUCAGAUCUUAUAAAUCUUUCACUUUUUACUAAAGAGUCUGUGAAGAGAAACAAGUCUGAGUUUAAACCCAAUUUUUUGAGGCCCUGCAUCUGUAGAGCU
ensembl:snRNA U5 U5 spliceosomal RNA